rnacentral:lncRNA from 9 species
GCGCGCGCCGCCAGCCGGGGGCUAGCGCCAGCCACGAGGGAGCGUCCGCGGCCUGCGCACCCGCGCCACAGCGGAGAGAGUCUACAGUUCAUAAUGGAGCAACUGCACUGGCUGUUGGAAGGAGAAGAUUCUGAAGAUAGGGAGGAACCUUCUUAUUCAAAACACCUUUCAAAGUCAAUGCAUAAAAAUAGCAGGCAGCUUCCACUUGCAGGCCUUUUGAAGCUGGAGAAGAGGUGUUUUUCAUGAGAAGAAACUGAGUCCCAGGAAGAUGAAAUGACUUGCUACAUCAGCCACAAGUACUCGCUCAGCAUGAACUGGGCACUGGGAGCUGGACAGCAUCGGCCAUAGAGUGGAGACCACAGUGGACACGGCCCUUCAUAAAUCCUGAGGCUAUGCAUUCAAGACUAUAAAUUUCUCUUUAAGCACUGCUUUCUCUCCCCCACAAAUUUUGAAUCUGGAGUUACUUCACAUUUUUCUUGCUUCUCCCUCUGCUCCAGCCCUCAAGCAGUGAGCCUUGCCCAGGCAUAUUUCUUCUUCUGUUUGUUUCUCAACAAAGAGGAAAUUUGUUGAGAGUUGGACUAAAUCUCAAGAUCCCUUUGCGUCAACAGAAGACUCUACAAAUACUAACAGACACCAAAGGAGAGGAAGGCAGGUCCAGUGCUGGGUUUUUGCAGACUUUACCAGGUAGGUGAAGGCUGCUUCUAUGGUCUAGGCCUUUUCAAGAAUUCUGUCAUCUCUCCUGUAAAAUACUCUGCUCGGCAUUGUAGCAGCUGAACAGUGGACGUUACAGUCAAGGUAUGAUUUUUAAAGUAUUUUUUAAACUGCUUUUAUUACUGUUAUAAAAGUCAUAGGGUUCACUAUAGUGAUUUGAGUUUUUAAAAUCCAGCCUCUGGCCCCAUGCCUCCCCCUCAGAAAUGUGCCAGGUGAGUCCUUCGAUGUUUGGGAUAAAGGAACGUGGGUCACAAAGGGAUGAACCUCCCCAGAAGGCUUGAUGGGCUCGAGGAUGCUCUAAGGCUUCCUUGGAGGCAGGGAGAGAAGGUGAGAACUUGGAAUGAAGACCUGAAAUGACUUGGAGAUAUUUUUGCAUAAUUUACCAUGUAGCUUUAAACUUCGUGGAAAACAUGAGUCCUCCUACCUUUAAACUUUCUCAUCUAUAAAACUUAAUCUAUUAAGGAAAAGUCCAGCAUCUAAAGGAGAGAGCUUCUCAGAACCUCCAUGUGCAAAUGAAUCACCUGGGGAUCUCGUUUGAAUGUAAAUGCUGGGGCUCGGUGGGGGGCUCGGGUAGGCCUGAGAUGCCGCAUUUCUACCCAGCUGCCUGGCCCCAGACCUCGCAGGAACCAGGCUCUAAAAUACAAAUCUCCUGAACACAUUCCCUUACUGGUAUUGUGUGUGCAUAUACGCAUGCUCUCUCUAUGUCUUUCUAGUCCUGCUUUCUAAAACAUUAAUUGAGAAGUAGGCCAUUGUUACAGAAGCCACAGCGCACGUCAUGAAAAAAACAGUGGGUACAAAGGCAAAACAUUGACAAAUUGAUACUUUCUUGCUUGGUCACGCCUGAUUUAAGGAAAUGAACCCAAAAUGGGCUGUGUGAAUUGGAAAUUGACUUCAACCACAUUUAAAUUGUUCUCCUUUAAAAUAUUAGCGCUUGAGUGUGUAAACCAAUAUUUAUUUUCUAAUCAAAGGUUUGCGGCAAAUUGUUUAUAAAUGAAAGAAAUGAGGAAAGAAUGCUUUAAAAUGUUUCUAGUAAUAGAAAUGGAAAUAGGAUAUUUUAGUUCUUUAAAUGGCAGACACAGGCCUCAACUAAAAUUCAUCCUGUUCAGGGAAGAGGAAAUCAUAUGAAAAACUGGUCAUAGUAUAAAAAAGCUCAGGCCGGCACCUCUCUGCCAGGGAUCAUGAUAAAUAUUUUUCAGUAGAAAAAAAAGUUGGAAGAUCCAGCCACAUUAAGGGAGAAUCUAUUAGCAGAAUAAUUGUAUAGAGAGGACCCCUUAAGAAAAGCUUCCAAAAUUCCAUUAUCUUAACUGUCACUCGCCACUUGGAGUUGUCUCGGCUGUGUGUUUUCAUGAAUUACCAGAGCUGUUUGUUUUUUCCUUUAUCAGUCAUCACCCUGUCAGCCGGGCCAUUCAUAACAACUUCUGGCAGCUCAUCAGAGUUCAGAGCCUGGCUAGGACCCUAUCAACCCUCACACCUCAUUGUGUGAGACUGUUUACCAGCAUUGCCUUUUUCUGUAAAUAUUACAAACAGAGCCCUGAAAGUGGAGAUGUGUGAAAACAAAAUGGACAAAUCUUGUAGCAGUUGGGCUGAGAUGGCAGCUGCGGGUGGGGGAGGGGGAGGGACCGAAAACUUCCAAGUCCUGUGUUUUCUUUAUUGGGCUGAAUACCGCCUAGUCAUCGGGCUUGAAUUCUUGUGUAUGCUGGCCAAUUAGACAGUAUUUAAUUUGCCUUAACAUUCGUGUCAGUUUGGUGAAAGUGAGACUUUGUAAUUAGGGAGUUCAGAUCGGGCCUCUGUCACAGUUCUGCUCACUUCCUCUCAUUUAAUGCCCCCCUUUUUCAGUGUAUUAUCACAUUUGAUGUGCUGAGUUCCCCCCGCUGUCUUUUAUGCUUGACUCGUGACAAGGUGGCCCACGUUACACAGCCAACAGCAAAUGGACUCAGUCUCCUGGAUUUAACGGCCUGAAGCUUCUGCCAGAUUCACCCUUCAGAAAUAGUUUCCUUUUUCAAAUGAAUGUCAACCAUUCUCUACUGAAGCUAAUAUCACCACCUUGCAAAUGGAAAUGGGAUCACAGGGCUGUGACUUGCUUCUUCCACAUACUGUGAAGCCUCUUGGAAGGGAGUCAGAGUAGAUGCACAUAGGCCGUCUGCCAUCUUUAUAUGGAGAUGAAGAUAAACAGAGCACAGAAGAUUAAGUAAUUUUUCCAAAGAUGCAGAAAUAGAAAAUGACAGAACUUGGCUUCUUAGCCACUAUAUUCUAGCUGCCUCCAACACAUGGGAAGAUAGUAGCUUUCAGGGAACAAAAUUAUUCAUCUUGAUACAGCAAGUCUUCAAUGAUGUCAAUAGGAAAACAGCCACAGCCAUGCUAAAGGCUUCAAGCACCACCGGUUUUGUCCAGAGGAGGCCAUGGUUAUUCUGGUGAAGUACAAGGCCGAGGUCAUUUUGAGCUGUCACUCUCUUGAGGGUCCGAGUCUAUGAAGCAGAGUAAGCUCAGGACCUACAGCACUGGACCUCUAGGAGGGCAACCUCACCAGCAGAUGAGGUCAUGAUGGAUGAUUCCUAAUUAUGGAGUCCUUUUCAUCUCUCAGUUUAUAUUCUGAGUUUCUACCUAGAAUAAAUUCUACUGUUUCUCAUUAACGCACUCACUGUCUUUGUUUUGAAUGGAAAAGGGGGAAAAAAUAUGUUUAAACCUCUGCUACCAGCAUACAGAGUAUGCCGAAAGAGGCAUAUCUGUUUCCAUCCCGAGUCACAUUAAUCUUUACAGUUCUCCAAAGUAACUAAUUAUUGUGUGGUCGGCUCCCUGUUUGUAUGGAUGGGUAGUAGGUAUCCUUUAUGAGUUUCUGGGUGACAGUUUGUCACAUGACGAAUUUUCUCCAGAAACUGUUCUUCAGUGUAUUGCCAAAUUCCUGAAUCAAGAAUGAGAAGUCCAACUAGUUAGGCUAAAGGCACAGCCAGCCAAUUGGCCAUAGCCUGAGCGCAUCCUUCCUAGAGCCUUACCUCUCAGAGAGGAUUGAUGGGUUAAGCUCCAGAGGACUUGCUCUCCAUUUCAAGUCUUCCAGCGGCAGCGGGGCAGCCACGCCACAGUCGUCUGUCCUGAGCCCGUCUCGCAGGUGGGACACGUUUACAAGUAUGAGAUCCCUGCACACACCUGUGCCCUCUGACGAGAGCUUGGUGGUCGUGGGGAACGUGCACACGUCACAGCCACUGUGCCGUGUUCUGAGUCACCCCAUUUUCUUCCAGCAACAGCAAUCUGAAAUGAAAAGAAUCAUCACAUUUGGCACAUGUCAAUACAAAGGCCUGGGUAGAUGGCACACCUUGUUUGAGGUCACACAGUCAUUUAACGGCCGAGUAGGAGGGGGAGCCUGGUUCUGUCUGCCCCAGCCCAGUGGUUUCAACCAUCACCCUGGUGUCACUUCUGAGGUCACGGCUUCCCAGCGGUAACUGUUAGAGGCCAGAAGACGUGGGCCUGGGGGAGCUUUUAAAUGUGACAUAACUCUUUGCCUGCUGAGAUUCUUAUGUUUAAAAACCCAGAGGAAGAUCAUAUGAAUGUAUUUAUUUAACAUUUAUGUACAAUAUUUACGUUUACAAAAUGCUUUAUAGUGGAACAGAAUGAGCAGAAAUUUUUAUUGGGGCAUAUAAUUGUCUUUCAUAUUCAUUUAUUCCUUUGAUUUAUAUCAAAUGUUCUCCACUUGGUCUUCUGAGAUCAUGUACAAUGGUAACAAAUUGAAAAUAAGAUUAAUAAAAGAUUAUUCUGUAUCACUCUGAGGGAAAAUGGAGCAGGGCCAUACCGUCCUCCGUUCUCGAUAGAUGUUACGCAAAAGCGCGUCAUGAGGUCCCCAGCACACAGUCUGUAAUACCAGCUGUGCUUGUUCAUGGUGCUUUGAAACUAUGUUUGGCGUCUAUUCUUCCUUUAUUAGGUGGUACUCAUUUUCUGCCAUUCAGCUGGUUGGGGUGCUCAACAUUUUAGAUAAUAAACUGCUCCGAGUAGCAUCUGAUGAGACUGCCUGGUGGCCUGUCUUCAUUGAUCACUGAGCCAGAAGCCUCUGCAGAGGUUUCUUGCCCAUGAUUCCCUCUGCCUGGAAGUCCCAAUAGCACCUUCUCCAAGAACCUGGCCUUGAGCCCUGAUCCUCAAGAACCUCCUGCUGGUGGUGGGUCCUGGCAUUGCCUUUUAUCUUCUCUUUAGCCCAUAAGACUGUAUGAAGAACUCUGGACUUCCAGGCUUUGGUGAGAAUAGAUUAAAAUA